AAAGGAAGGGAAGAAAGCGAAAGGAGCGGCGCUAGGGCGCUGGCAAGUGUAGCGGUCACGCUGCGCGUAACCACCACAACCCGCCGCGCUUAUGCGCCGCUACAGGGCGCGUCCAUUCGCCAUUCAGGCUGCGCAACUGUUGGGAAGGGCGAUCGGUGCGGGCCUCUUCGCUAUUACGCCAGCUGGCGAAAGGGGGAUGUGCUGCAAGGCGAUUAAGUUGGGUAACGCCAGGGUUUUCCCAGUCACGACGUUGUAAAACGACGGCCAGUGAAUUGUAAUACGACUCACUAUAGGGCGAAUUGGGCCCGACGUCGCAUGCUCCCGGCCGCCAUGGCGGCCGCGGGAAUUCGAUUAGAGUUUGAUCCUGGCUCAGAUUGAACGCUGGCGGCGUGCUUAACACAUGCAAGUCGAACGUGAAAGUCCUUCGGGGCGAGUAAAGUGGCGCACGGGUGAGUAACGCGUGGAUAAUCUACCCUUAAGAUGGGGAUAACGGCUGGAAACGGUCGCUAAUACCGAAUACGCUCCCGAUUUUAUCAUUGGGGGGAAAGAUGGCCUCUGCUUGCAAGCUAUCGCUUAAGGAUGAGUCCGCGUCCCAUUAGCUAGUUGGCGGGGUAACGGCCCACCAAGGCAACGAUGGGUAGCCGGUCUGAGAGGAUGACCGGCCACACUGGAACUGGAACACGGUCCAGACUCCUACGGGAGGCAGCAGUGGGGAAUAUUGCGCAAUGGGCGAAAGCCUGACGCAGCGACGCCGCGUGAGGGAUGAAGGUUCUCGGAUCGUAAACCUCUGUCAGGGGGGAAGAAACCCCCUCGUGUGAAUAAUGCGAGGGCUUGACGGUACCCCCAAAGGAAGCACCGGCUAACUCCGUGCCAGCAGCCGCGGUAAUACGGAGGGUGCAAGCGUUAAUCGGAAUCACUGGGCGUAAAGCGCACGUAGGCGGCUUGGUAAGUCAGGGGUGA
rnacentral:rRNA from 1 species